GGGCCCGUAGCUCAGCCAGGAAGAGCGGUGGGCUUUUAACUGCAGUCCGUGCAUAUAGGAAGCCACCCAUAGGUCCCGGGUCCGAAUCCCGGCGGGCCCG
rnacentral:tRNA from 1 species